GCGCUCGGGCUGCUCCGGCGGAUCAUGCCUGUGGGGCCCACUGCGCCUGCUCUCAGACUGCGGCGACCCGUGGCCGCUAGGGUCAGGCCCCGAGGACAGCCAGUCCCACACGACGCGUGGACUGUGUUCCAAGGAAGUGUUUGAAACUCGGUUUAGCACCCAGAUCCCUUUCCCCGUGGAAACAGUGUAUUAAGUGGAAGUCAAGUCAACGGGCUGCCCCCCCCCACCCCGCCCAGUCUGCUGAGCGCACGCGGCGCCGACGCCGGCCCGCGGUCCCCACCGGCGCCCGGUGCCCCCUGCUCCGCACGCAGCCGCGGCCGUGACCUCCCUGCGGCGACCCAUGUCGGCCUAGGACGCGGUGUGGCACGCCCGCCUCUAUCCCCGGCCCCGUGUCACAGCAAGUCUGCAUCUUGUCCUGCGGGCACGGCCUCCCCCUCUGCUUUCCCGCGUGUCCACUGCGGCCCGUGGCGGCACCCGCUCCGGCCGGCGCUCUGCUCCCGGCCCUGGGCUCCACCGGCCCUGCCGGUGCUUGGAGCCCCUGAGAACCCCCGGUCAGCCAAGGGUCCAGCCCCAGCAGCCGAAGCACCGAGCCCGGCUCCUCUGUGCCGUCCCCACGGCCCACCCUGCACGGCCGAGAGUCCGCGGGCCAUGAAGACGGCAGAUGCCCGGCCUGUGCUCCCAGAGCCCCCCUGGACCGAAACAGCUGCCUGAUCAGAGAGCGCUCUCUUCGCCUAAGUGCGUCUAGGAUGCUGUCCAUGCAGGGACCAGGGCGUACUCACGGUUCCUGAGCGGGGCCUGGACGCCACUGAAGGAUGUGUCAGUCGAGAACUCAGAAGAGUGGAGGGAAAGCUAUUUGUCCUUUUCCACAAGGUGGAGAGGAGGCACCUGCUCCCCUGUCUGUGCUCAUCUCAUGGGGCGGAAGCGAGCCUUGACCAGAGCCUCUGCCUGGGGCCGCGUGCGCCUCUUCUCCUGGCUGAGGGACAUGGCUUCCUAUCGAAUGUGAUUUCAGGACUGGGAACCUACCUGAGGUUGCUGGAAGACCCGGUUCCCCCACCUGCUGGCUACCUCGGGGCGGGAGUCCCAGAGAAAAUGUGUACCAGCCUCUAGUGUACAGUAUUUGUUCCCAAAGUGUGUUCCGUGGAACCAUCUCCUCAGCUAGUCUGCAUCCGAAAAGGCUUCCAUGGUGAGGUGAGUCCUGCAGAGUCUGUCUGCCACAGUUCACGUUUUCAAGGACCUGAGGAGUCCUGCAGUGAGCAGCCAGUUUCCAAGGUGUAUUUGACUUCAGCACAGUCUCCACUCCCUUUACACCUGCGACCCACCAUUGGGCCAAGAGAAACUCCCGCAGGAGCUUCCAGGGGGGACCUUUGUCAGGUAGGAGUGUUUUCUAGCAAGGUUGCAGCCUGUCCUCGGGCUGGA